AUUGAACGCUGGCGGAAUGCUUUACACAUGCAAGUCGAGCGGCAGCGCGGGGGCAACCCUGGCGGCGAGCGGCGAACGGGUGAGUAAUACAUCGGAACGUACCCAGUUGUGGGGGACAACACAUCGAAAGAUGUGCUAAUACCGCAUACGACCUACGGGUGAAAGGGGGGGAUCGCAAGACCUCUCGCAGUUGGAGCGGCCGAUGGCGGAUUAGCUAGUUGGUGAGGUAAAGGCUCACCAAGGCGACGAUCCGUAGCUGGUCUGAGAGGACGACCCGCCACACUGGGACUGAGACACGGCCCAGACUCCUACGGGAGUCAGCAGUGGGGAAUUUUGGACAAUGGGGGCAACCCUGAUCCAGCCAUUCCGCGUGAGUGAAGAAGGCCUUCGGGUUGUAAAGCUCUUUCGGCAGGAACGAAACGGUGGGGGCUAAUAUCCUUCAUCAAUGACGGUACCUGAAGAAGAAGCACCGGCUAACUACGUGCCAGCCGCCGCGGUAA
rnacentral:rRNA from 1 species